GGGGGUGUAGCUCAUAUGGUAGAGCGCUAUGCGAGAGGCACGGGGUUCGAUUCCCCGCACCUCCA
rnacentral:tRNA from 1 species